ACACCAUCCCCAGACACCUCAUUCCUACACCUCCACAACAUCCCCCAACUCCACACCCCUGCAACAUCCCCCAGCCCCUCAACAGACACCUCCUGCACCACACCCCCAUAUCAUCACCAGACACCUCAUUCCUACACCCCCAGACACCCACACAUCCUCCAGCACCACAACCCCCACACCAUCCCCAGGCACCUCAUUCCUAUACCCCCUGACACCCCCUCAAUAUCCCCCUGCCCCCCACAGACACCCCCUAUACCUUCCAGUCACCCCCAACACCACACCCCCUACACCAUCCCCAGACACUUCACUCCUAUACCCCCAGACACCCCCUACACACCCACAACAAUCUCCCAGACACCCACAACACCACACCCCCAACCCUAACUGAGGUGAGGCUGAGAGAUGGUCAUGAUUGAUGUGGGUACUGGGGGAUGAAUUAGUAUGUUGGGGUUGGUGAGCAGCUGGAAGCUCCAUGCUAUCAGGCAGCUGGGAGAGCUCCUACUUCGGGGGCCAGUAUCCCCACACUGAGGGAGUUGGCAAAAUUACUCAUCCCACACACCAGGGUGAGGUGGGGAGUCGGGGGAGAGGGGAGAGUUAAAAGAAAUCAAAAAACAAACCAAAAAAAUAUAACUUAAAAAAAAAACCCUCAUGCUUUUUGGGGGCUGACUCCUGGGGCUGGCAGGUCUGCUACAUGGAGUCACAUCUUUGUCCCAGACUCGGGCAGACACAUAGUCCCUGUGAUAAUAUAGUUUCUUUAGCACUCGUGUACGCAGGCUCCUCAGCACUCUGAUUCUCCUGCCGCCCCAGUUGAGGAACUAGCAUGUGGCCUUAUAGGCAGGACUCCUGGUUGUUUGACUGGAGAGGAGAGGGAAGCAGACUUAGCUCAUAAGCAGCUUGCUGUCUCCUGGCACCCACAUGCCUGCAAGCUAGCCCUGCUGGACUUUCCUUACCGCACUGCAGCCAUUCGUUGCUUUUCUGGAUGGGAAAUGAGAGUGGAGAGUGAGGAACCUUGGAGCCGCCAAAGCAACAGGGCAUUGACCCCAGCCGAGGGAUCCAAACUCGGUAACAUUACCCCAGCCCACCUGUGACUGCUGGAAGCUGUGGUUAUUCAUUACAUGUCUUUGCUUGGUUUCUUUUAGUAUCACCUGAACCAGCUGGGCCACAGGAAGGCAGCGGGCACACAACUACAAUUACACCUUCAGUCUGCAUGGGGCUGCAGGAAAAAAAGCCAGGCAACUUCUCUGAAUCCCAGGCAGAGAGGAGCAGCAGCAACACCUUUUUCAGCUAUAUGGCCUUUGGGAAAGAACCAGCACAGAGGAGCCAGCCUGAGCCAACCAAAAAUUGAAGCUGCAGAGCAAUUGCAGGAGUAUGAACACCGAUAAUAUCUUCCACAGUUUGACUGGUCUACCUCUGUCCUGAGCUGAUCAUGUUUGCUCCAACCCCCUGCCUCACGGUCUCCUCCCCUCAGCUGAUUCUGUGUGUUAAUAUCCUAACCCGCUGCUGUCCAAGGGGCAUGUAACUGUCUGCUGUAGAGACCAAGGCCGGGAAGCAUAGUACUGGCAGGAAAUCAAGAUGCUUUCAUAUCCAACCAUUUCCCUUCCCCCAGCCUUGUUUCUUUCUCUCUGUUCAACGUAUUAUGUUUUGACAGUAUCCCUUUGGACUUUUCAUAAACUUUGGCUCUAAACAUUAGUCCCAGGGGACUGUCUCUUUGUUCUGGAUUUGUAACCACCUAGAACAAUGAGGUUCAAAUAAUAAUAAUAAUAUAAUAUAA